GGAAAAACACCCUUUAAUUUCAGUAUUGAAGGCCAUACACCCAUACAAUUAAUUAUAAUUCCAGUUUUUACAUAAAUAAAAGGACAAGACAAAUUUUAAAAAAAAAAAAUCCACCAAAACCAAAUACAAGACCUACUGGCUUCAUAGCAACUAAACGUCAAAUUCCAGGAUAGGCACAGGCACAGGACCAAUUUGACGCAGGGGAAGGGCUAGUUUCCAACACUAAGCUAAACCGCCUACAAUCCAUAACCGACAUUUAGUAAAGCUCAAAAAUGAACCCAAAUGGACAACAAAAACUCAAUUUGCAGCAGCUGCAGUAGCAUAAGAUUAAGGCUGCAAGUUGGAGGGACGCGAAGGUGUAGCAGCAGAGAUGACUCGCUGAGAAUCAGGUAGGUUGGCAGCAACUGAUAGAAG
rnacentral:lncRNA from 1 species